rnacentral:rRNA from 1 species
UAGUCCACGCCGUAAACGAUGGAUACUAGGUGUCCGGGAUAUUAACCUCCUGGGUACUACAGUUAACGCGUUAAGUAUCCCACCUGGGGAGUACGCUCGCAAGAGUGAAAACUUAAAGGAAUUGACGGGGGUCCGCACAAGCGGUGGAACAUGUGGUUUAAUUCGAUACUACGCGAAGAACCUUACCUAGGUUAAAUGUCUAUUGCUUACACUCAGAAAAGAGUGGUUCCGCAAGGACGAUAGACAAGGUGCUGCAUGGCUGUCGUCAGCUCGUGCCGUGAGGUGUUGGGUUAAGUCCUCUAACGAGCGCAACCCUAUGUUUAGUUGCCAGCAUGUAAUGAUGGGGACUCUAAGCAGACUGCCUGCGAAAGCAGUGAGGAAGGAGGGGCGAAGUCAAGUCAUCAUGGCUCUUACGCCUAGGGCUACACACGUGUUACAAUGGCGUGUACAGCGGGCUGCUACCUGGUAACAGGAUGCUAAUCCCUAAAAGCACGUCUCAGUUCGGAUUGAGGU